GAUUGCAUCUGUUUAAUAGAUUGUCCAUCUGAACCCCCUGACUGAAGAGAAACAUGCCAGUUUCUACGAUGUCUUCCCUAUAAGGGUAAGGAAGCAUUUAUUAGCUUAAAAUCCUCAUUGACUAACAAAAGAGAGUAGAGAAAUUCUUUCUCAUUACUCUAGUUCUUGCUUAAAGGAAAGUUCAGCUCUAAAGCAGUAAGCUUAGUAUAUGUUUGUAUGUUUUAAUUUUUUUUAUCUUCAUGUCUAGGCUCAUAUAUUGGUUUGGCCCUGAGGCCACAGUUGUGCUUGAGAAUCCUUCUCUAACCAUUAAUUGCUAAUGGCAAAGGCAGAGAAUGUAAGAACUACAGUCAUUAGAUUCCGUUGAUGGCUUCUUUUUCGGCCACAUGUAUUCAGUGACUGGUGGCUUGUUCCUCGGAAGUGAUGCAACUUGAGUAGAGCAAACUUUAUUGUUGGGAGAAUUUUUGGAGAACGUCUAAAAUGAGUUGGGGCAUUUCUAUUGUAAACCAUGUGUUUUAAUGAUUUUGCAAGUUAUGCGUUGAUUGUUACCAAUAAAGAAAUGCUUGCUUGUAUUUUUUU
rnacentral:lncRNA from 1 species